AACCUGCAUUUAUUUAAAUAUAAGUACAAUAGUAUACGUAUAUGCAUACAAAUUAAUAACAUGUAUUUAGUUUCCGAGUAAACGUGCGACCGCUGACAACUUUUUUUUAAUUCGUUCUAUUCCUAUAACGCCUCUUUGCAAUCGUUAUACAUAUAAUAUUAUAAAACAUUUUGCAACUUCAAAUCCAAAAAUUUUGUUUAUUUUGGUUAUCCGUGGUACAUUAUCGAACGUUUUGCAGUAUGUCAAGGAUAAUAUGGGUGUCGUGUGGGGAUGCGUAGAAUCGGUGUUUUCUUACUAGACAAAGGGCAGACCUAAAUCGUCUAAGAAGUUCAUUGAAA